UAACGAGUAUGGAAUAGAGUGUAUUCCGCGCGAGUGGAAAGUUCGUCACACGAGCCGAAGGCGAGUGUGACGGUUCCACGAGCGUUGAAUACCUAUUCCUUACAAGUAAUAGACAUAAUUUUUUCUACUACUACGACGAAUUUUUGCAAAAUAUGUAUAAAACAAGCAGGGUUAACGAUAGACAAUUCACACAUUAGUAGGUACGUCUAUGUACGGUGGGUUGGUAUAGCAGAUCCCUGUGGCAUAUUUGACAGAUUCUAAAUGGCUGUAUAAACAAUUUUCUCGACAAUUUCUCUUCGCUGAAUAUUAUCCCAGGGAAGGGAUACUAACUUUUCUGUGAUAUUAAUUACAAAUGUGCACAUUUGUUGAAUGUGUCCUGUCCUGCGCAGUGUAUGAAUCGGCGUGGAUCAUUUAGAUUUAGAUAAACGUAUUCGAUGUGUGCGACCGGUAUGUAAUUCAUGAUGUGCAUUCAAAUACAAAAUGCUACAAAGAGGACGUUAUGGACGCAAAUCAGAAAUAAACUCGAAAAAUUUGUAUGUUAGUUUUAAAACUUCCUGGAGGAAAUGUGUUCUCGAUGACCAACAAUGUUAACUGUUUGGAUCUGGAUGUUCUUUUUGUAUAGUGCAGUGAGGUAUACCAACGUGGGUCCCCCGUAAUUGUAAACUUUCGUUGUACGUUAGUUUUCGUAUUGGGUAUUCUAAUUACAGUUCCACCUAAGCCUUGUAUGUGGUCGAUUUUUAUGUUCCACGAACACGAUUCGUGCUUACGACAAGCACCACUAAUGCCAACUAUAAGAGCAUCCUUUAAAUGUAAAAUAGAUAUGAUGUAACGAGUAACGAUUUGAAUGUGUAAUGUUAUAGUAAAUAUAAACUGUCGAGGGGGCUUUUUGAAUAAACAUUUUUACUUUGCUCGUUGAUAGAAUUUUUGACUUUUUGAGCCGCUGGAAUGCGUUUUUAAGGCCUGCAACUUAGCAUGCAUAGCUGCUUAUAUCUACAUUAAUUGUUCAAAAGUAUCGUAGACCGCACCAUGGAAUACGUUUUCCACAAUGUGAAUGCUUUAACUUCCUGUGAUAGUUCGCUAAAGUAAAUUAGCACUAGGUUCUCUGAAAA